UGAUCCGGUGGUUCUGAAUGGAAGGGCCAUCGCUCAACGGAUAAAAGGUACUCCGGGGAUAACAGGCUGAUACCGCCCAAGAGUUCAUAUCGACGGCGGUGUUUGGCACCUCGAUGUCGGCUCAUCACAUCCUGGGGCUGAAGUAGGUCCCAAGGGUAUGGCUGUUCGCCAUUUAAAGUGGUACGCGAGCUGGGUUUAGAACGUCGUGAGACAGUUCGGUCCCUAUCUGCCGUGGACGCUGGAGAACUGAGGGGGGCUGCUCCUAGUACGAGAGGACCGGAGUGGACGCAUCACUGGUGUUCGGGUUGUCAUGCCAAUGGCACUGCCCGGUAGCUAAAUGCGGAAGAGAUAAGUGCUGAAAGCAUCUAAGCACGAAACUUGCCCCGAGAUGAGUUCUCCCUGACUCCUUGAGAG
rnacentral:rRNA from 1 species